GGUUACUCCAGAAACUAAUGGUCUCAAGCACCUUGACUGGUAAAUUAAUUGGCCCUUUCCAAAACCUAUACAUCAUUAACCCAGCUCAAAUGGUACCAGCACACAUGAAGGAUAUCUUGGAAGGUAAGGAUGUUAAUCUAGUCUCGCUGCUGGUUGCUUCCCAAGAUAUCCUGGAAAACAAGACCUAUUCUUAUGGCGAUGUGUCUGUUGUACUGAAGGCUUAGGACCCCAGGUUGAAUAGGAAAUUGUCUAUCCCUGAGUUUGUCCUAGCUUGUGGGAUUUAUAGGGAUGUGGUGUGUUCAGUGUAUCCACAACAUAG